rnacentral:rRNA from 1 species
UACGUAGGGGGCAAGCGUUGUCCGGAUUUAUUGGGCGUAAAGAGCGUGUAGGCGGUUUGGUAGGUCCGUUGUGAAAACUCGAGGCUCAACCUCGAGACGCCGAUGGAAACCAUCAGACUAGAGUCCGGAAGAGGAGAGUGGAAUUCCUGGUGUAGCGGUGAAAUGCGCAGAUAUCAGGAAGAACACCGGUGGCGAAGGCGGGUCUCUGGGCAGUAACUGACGCUGAGGAGCGAAAGCGUGGGUAGCGAACAGG